rnacentral:misc_RNA from 1 species
UACUUUGAUGUCAGCUACUGGUUUG